rnacentral:lncRNA from 1 species
UGACCAACCUGAAGUCUCUUCCCAACAUCCUUCUGCAGCACCUGUGCUAAGCAGUACUCCAUACUGGGCUCCAUAGUGUCUCAGAAACACAGCACUAGCAAGAAAGCUAGAGGGCAGACGGUCCAAAAAAUCCCUCUAUGAAUGUACGCAGGAGGUCACUUCUUUGUUCAGUGAAGGUUACUGAGGGCCUGGGUUUCAAAGAUGCAAUUCUGAGAAUGGCAACAAUGCACCAUGUGUGUGUGAACAGCAGCUGGCAGGAUAUUAAAAGUCCAAUUUAAAUAACUAGUGAUAGAUGAAGCAAUGAGCAGUGCUGUACUGUUGGGUCUGCAAUAAUUCUCAAUUCAGCAGUCCAUUCUGGCGGGUACGGCGAGAGGCGGCGGCGGGGCGGGGGCCGGGCGGGCUCAGUGCCGGCGGCGGCGCCCGCUGCGCUGCAUGGCUGCGCCCGCCCCGCUGCCACGGGAAGAAUGGGAGCCGGCGCGCGUGCGCCAACCUCGCCUCACAGCGCAGGCGCGGCACCGCCCCACGCCUCUAGAAAGCUCCCGGGCGGGCAGCGCGCAUGCGCGAAGGAGAGUGCGCGUCCAUCCCUCGUACACCUUUACCACAGAGCGCGAGGCGGGGGCCGGGGGGAACGCGCCUCUCGCCGGUCUCUAUGGUAAGGCGGGGCGGCGGUGAGAUCAGUGCGCGCACAGCGCAUGCGCAGGGGCGGUGUUUUUAGCGCUAGCGGCGAGUCGGCCGUGGAGGGCCGGAGUUGGAACGACCCCGCCGCGGUAGCGCAUCCACUUCCGGAGCGGCCCCGUUUCGGCGGGAGGGGGCUCGCCCCGCCCCCGCGGCCGUUACCCGGGCGCCCUGUCCCGCCGCCCUGCCCGGUUGCCGCGGCGACGGCGCCUGCGCAGAGCGCGAUCUGCGGGGCUCCCCCGUGGGCGCGGUUCCGCCCCGCGCCCUCAGAGCGCGGCGUUGCACCGCUCCGGGGGGAGCUUUGGCCGCGGGCUCCGCACGGCUUGGGCAGCUGGCUGCCGUGCCAGGGGCAGCCCCGGCAGAGCUGCGGCGAGCGGAUCUCUGUGAGGAAAAACGGUUCCCUCUCCUCAGCUCGUGAGGCUCGCACGCCCCUCUCCGCAGCGGGCUGAGCGCAGGGCACGGGGCGGGCUGUCGCAGCGCUAGCUCAGCUCCAUCUGUUCCUCCGACAGCCACGGCUUUGCUCCUCUUCGUUUCUGUACCGGAUCCCUGCUGGGAUCUGUAGCGCAAGCGGUGCCCGCGUUUUUAACGCGAGCAAUCCGUUCCAUGAGCGCAGAAGCGAGGAGGCCUGCUUUCCCGCACACCUUCCUUUGUGCACCCCGCAGCACGCCAGGGAGGCACCGCGUGAGCUGCGGUCAGCCCGGAGCCGUGCGUGUGGGACACCCCAUCCGCUGCCGCCGCUGCCACAGGGCUCGCACCGUGCCCGAGUUCCGCCUGCCCUCCCCUCGAGGCUGGCAGCGGUUGUUCUCCUCCAGUUCACAUGAAACUCGAAAUUCCUUCCCCAGAAGGAAGGCAGCUGACGGCUGACCAGAAGCAGACUGGGCACAUAACCAUCGUUCCAUUGUUUCUAUCAGAACGCUGUCCCUCGGUGGCUUUUUAAGCUUUCUUCUGGUCUCACAGCAUCUCAGGUUUUUUGUUUGUUUUUAAGUCUGCUCAGAGCUGGCUCUUCUUCAUUAUACUGUGCAGAUUGUCAGCUUCCACAGUGUCAUCAAUUGCAUUUGUUCUAGCAUUGUCUAUGAGAGACCCAUGUGUCCAUUGCUGACAGCAAAUCAGAACAAAAACCCAUCGUGAGAGCACAUCAGGCUACUCCAAAAGGAAAGAGAUUGAAUUUUCCUGACAGAAUCAGAUCUAAAUCGGUAUCUCAAAAAGAUGCCUCCAAAGUUAUUGUUAGAUGAGGGCGUGCUUUUUCUGUCAGUCCUUGGGCAUUCAUCCAGGGGUGCAAAAAGGACUCUAAGUGAAGCAAACAGCAGUGCCUCAACCAGAGGAGCUAUGAACAGCACAAGUGAGUGCUCAACAAGGGCUUCGGCCAGUGGUUUAACUGCAGGUAAUAUUACCCUUAUAACAAAUGUACCUAAAUAAAGGUACUUUCUUUUACUAUGCUUUCAUUUCUGAAAGAUGUGUAUUUACUUCCAUAUCUCACACAUGGACUAGCACAGCACAAAGGUAGCAACAUCUAUCUCCUGAGAUUAUGCUGUUCCCAGUGAAGCAGCGCAGAUUUUUCUCACCCACCUGCAAAAUGCACCACUUCCUGCUUGCUGAGAAGAGUUCUGUUUUGUCAUAAGGAGGUAUGUGCAAAAAAUAUAUAUACGCAGUCCAUUUGGAAGGUGAAACAUUAAGCUUAGAGAUUUCUGCAUUUAGGGCCCAGAAUGCUGGAAGUAGGGACAAAGUCAGAACGUUUUAUUUAAAACUAGUGCUCUUUCAAACAAAACACGUCAGUGAAACAGAACUAGUGGGGAGCAGAAGGAAGAGCUGGGAGGGAAAGGGGCUCUUAUUUAAUAGAAUCACAGAAUGGUUGGGUUGGAAGGGACCUUAAAGCCUACCCAGUUCCAACCUUCUGUCAUGGGCUGGUUGCCAGCCAUCACAUCAGGCUGCCCAGAGUCCCAUCCAGCGUGGCCUUGAGCAUCUCCAGGGAUGGGGCAUCCACAGUAGAAACAACUCACUGUACCUGAACAACCUGCUCCUCCCUUUUCCUUUAGGGCUCUUUUGCACAAUGUCUGCUCAGGAAUCUGAGGGCUGAGCGCCCCAAGGUGAAACAUUCAUUUACAAGUAACAUGAGGAUACUUAGCUGCCCAUGAGAGCGCAGGACUGGAGCCAAAGCCUGGCUGGCCCUGGGUUGUUCUCCUAGAGUUGAGCACACACUUAUUCAGACUUGGAAAGCCACGUUUCCUUUAUGUGUCGUCACAGCUCCACUGCUUGCGCAGAUAAGGGAUGGCACAACUUUGCCUGAUUCUUCGUAACUCUGGAUCUUUCCCUUUGCCCUCACCCUGGCAAUAACACCUCACGCACUGAUCACCUGAACGCACCCCCAUGCUGUGCUAAGGAAAAGGCAGCACUGCUCCUGGCACAAAGAUAAAUAGUGCAGACUAAUGCAAAGUGCUGACCAAGCUUCUGAGUGGUGUUGAUCUGCUCUAGCAACAUCCCUGGGCAACUCACCUUCUCUACCCCUCACCUGUGAAGCAGGGAACAAGCUCUUUGCUUGUACCACGACAGAACACUUGAAACAGAGAGAGCACUAGCUAGCCUGGAUCAGCUACAAAUGCAGUAAUUCCUCAUUCUUUCCCUUGCACACGACAGUUGUCAUAGCUCCAGAUUUGAGCACUUUCAGCUCAGACAAUAUGCUACCUUUAAUUGGUGCUUUCCUGCCAAGCAUUAGCAUUCUGCAUCAGGUUAUUUCCACGUGAGAGCUGCCACUAACAAAACAGCAAGCUGACCCACUUAGCUCCCAUGUGAAGGCACAUGAAGCCGUGCUUCAGUCACCAAACAGAAAGGAAAAUCUGAUAGCAGUAGGCUUUGAUUAAAGGGAAGGGAGCAAAUGGCUUCGAGGCUAACAGCAUGCAUGUUCAUAAAGGUCACCCCCACACAGUGUCAAUUGAGUUUGAUUCAAGAUUUCCCAUUAGCAAUGAGGUCCUACAAGCCAUGCAAACAUCUCCCAGGCCUCCUGCACUGACUCCCCUGGAGGCAGAGGACGGUCACCCUGGCCACAGCAUCAAGGCAGCAUUAAUUGUGGUGCCUUUUUGUUUUGUAACUCAGGAGUCCAAGCUGAAACCCCCCAAAAACUGGGCGCUGGCUACUGGAAAGCUGGUGCUUCCAGCUCUUUCUGACCUAAGAUGGACUGCAUGCAGCAGCCUGGGAGGCGAAUGGUGUCUGGCCUUGGACAGCCAUAGGCAAUGUGCCUCAUGGUUGUGUUGCAGUGUACGUGCCCAUGCUCUUCCUGGCAGCCUUCAGGCCUCUGGGAAAAGACAUUUACAGGUCAAACUAAGAGGCAUCCUAUUUUUGUCUUACAUUUAAAUUGACAUUCAACAACAUUUCAGCCCCAUUUCCUCUUCCCUCAAAACGUCCCAUUUACACAUUCAGAUGGAUUUUUCCCUUCCUGUUCUCAUUCUGUUUCAUCAUCUGCUGUUUUCAUUUUACCUUUUUUCCACCAUCCAAACACUCACAAUUAUGCUCCUAUCUCCUGUUUUAUACAUGCACAUCACACACGCACGUACCUUACCAGCAUGGAUCCCUUUAAUCUUUGAAAAACAUUUCCUUUUUAUCCUCACCCAAAUAUUAAACCAACUGGAAAGUGACAUAUCAAGGUUAGGAAUGCAGCUUGCUCUUGACGAGGGAAAAACGCUGAGCUUUGCAAGAGGCUAAAUAAGUGGAUUAAGAUCCUUUCUAAAGAUUAGCUCACCCUUCACCCCAAAUGCAGAUUUCUACUGAAAUUAAUGGAUGCUCUUAUAAAAUUCAGUAGGAGGGCUGACACUGAACAACAGCGCAGCAC